rnacentral:rRNA from 1 species
CCUACGGGAUGCUGCAGUGAGGAAUAUUGGUCAAUGGACGCAAGUCUGAACCAGCCAUGCCGCGUGCAGGAAGACGGCUCUAUGAGUUGUACACUGCUUUUGUACGAGGGUAAAUCCCGAUACGUGUAUCGUGUUGAAAGUAUCGUAAGAAUAAGGAUCGGCUAACUCCGUGCCAGCAGCCGCGGUAAUACGGAGGAUUCAAGCGUUAUCCGGAUUUAUUGGGUUUAAAGGGGGCGUAGGCGGUUUGAUAAGUUAGAGGUGAAAGCCCGGGGCUCAACUCCGGCACUGCCUCUGAUACUGUCGGGCUAGAGUUUAGUUGCGGUAGGCGGAAUGUAUGGUGUAGCGGUGAAAUGCAUAGAGAUCAUACAGAACACCGAUUGCGAAGGCAGCUUACCAAACUACGACUGACGUUGAGGCACGAAAGCGUGGGGAGCAAACAGGAUUAGAUACCCCUGUAGUC